AGAUUGAGUGGGUGAGUCAGAUGAUUUAGGAGGUGAGCUUGGAGAUUCAGGUGUACUUGGUGGACUCGGCCAAUUAGGGUUACAUGGAAAACCUGGGAUGCUUGGAAUGCCUGGGAUGCAUGGAAAACCUGGGAAUGGUAUGUCUGGGUUGCAUGGGAUACCCGGGAUGCAUGGUAGACCUGGAAAACCUGGGAUGCCUGGAAUGUUUGGUAGAGGUGGAAAUCCUGGUAUGUCCGGAAAACCAGGGAUAAAAGAUUCAAACUUUGCCCCAUCUUGAUCAUUAAAUUCAACUGCAAAAAUAUUAACCAAAAUAACUUAAAAUUAAAAAGCAAAAUGAAGAUAUAACAAUUUAUAAAGAUUGUGGAAUUCUUACUCAAUUGUCUAGCUUCCCCCAUGGAAGAGAUUAAAACAAUGGUGACCAAGAAGCCUUGGAUGAGGAAAGCUCGUGUAGACAACAUUUUCUUAGAGUAAAUUAAAAUUAGAAGAAGAUAGAAGUUUGCAGAUGAAAUUUAGUGGCAAAUUGAACUCUAUUUAUAAGAGCGAGAGAGGUAGACAAGUCCAUUAAAAUUAGAUUCAUUCAAUUUGUUUUUAUGGGAGAUUUGUAAAUUGUUUUUAAUUCCUAAAACGUUAAUUGUUAAGUCAUAAUUUUAUGCCUAUAAAGCAUAAUUGCUAGGAAAUAAAAUAAUCGAUCCUCAUUAAAUUAAAAUUGAUUCCUAACUACUUUCUCAUAUUAAAAUACUUUUAUAUGGAAUUCAAUAUCUUAUUUGUGUGAUUCUUAUUUUAAAAGACUUGAUAACUUUUUUUUUUCAAUGUAACGUUUAUCACACAGUAUCCCCUUGAAAUCAUUUCCCAUUUUAAAAAAUAAUAAUGUUUUUAAGUUAAUAAAUUGAAUCAAUAAAAAUACAGGGUGUACAAAUAAGUCCUUUAAGUUUAGAUUAAAAAAAACCAGGCUUUAUUGUAGACUUGUUAAUUCUAUUUAAGGCAUAAGACACAAUUGGUAAGUGAUACUCUUAUGCUGAUAUAUUAUUUUUCGUAAGAUAUAUUAUUAAUUCAUUAAAUUUAUCUUUUUCUAACAUUAUUCUUUAAUUGUGGUUCUUUUAGGUGCUUAAUAUUUAUAUUAAAAUGUCUUUAUAAAUAAAUUUGGAUGGAGAACUGUUUGCAUUUCCAAACCAAAUAAUUUGGAUGGAGACAAAAUGGAGGAAACUGUGAGUGCCUACAAAGAAUGAAGACAAGGUAGAUCUGCCCCCGAAUGAUUAAUUCUUAUUAUUAAGAAUGUGAUAUUUUUACUACUACUAGAAAAUUUAUAAAAUUUAUUUUACCAACAGAAAUAAAAAUAGAUUACAUCUUAGAAUAUAUAUACAUCGGUGUAUCAAGAACGCUCUUCUUAAAAAUGAAUGAUCUACAUUUACUCUUAUUUAAUUUCAAGUAGAACUAUGCUACAAUUUAAAUGCCUAAUGAGUUUUCUUUUACAGGUUAUAGUCUUUGAACAUGGAUAAAUAUUUGGAAAUUACAAUAGAAUUCCUAAGUUUUUUGCUUAUGAAUAAAUACAUGAAUAAUUCUUCAAGUUAUUCCUUAAAUGGCUAAGUUGUAAUCUAUUAGUCUUACUAAGUCUAUUUAUAAAAUUGGAACAAGUUUACUAUUGUAAAUGACACCGAUAAGUGAAAUUUCUUGUAAAAGUAAAAUGUGUAACUGCAUUAUAGUUGCAAAACUUGCCACAUCUUAUAUCGACAUUAAUAUGUGGAAAGAUGAUACUAUUAUAUGGGUUAAUGCUUCCAAAAGAUUUCUCCAACAAUCAAGCUUAUGUUAUUAUUAUGUUUAUUUUUUUAUUAUUUUAUAUUCUUAUAGGACGAUUUUAGGAAGUAUGUUAGAAGCAGAUAGGGGGAGAGUCAACCAUGUCAAGUACUAUAUUUAAGUACAAUUAAUUAUUUGUGAAGGUUGCCUUAGUUAUUUUUCACUAAAAAUGGUGGUAAUGUUAUUUGAAUUUAGUUGAGUUAAGUACAUGGAUAAUUCAUCACGGGUGGGUUGAGAAAUAGAUAAAAUGUAUACUAUGGCUUUAUUACUAUGACAAUGCUUUACUAUAUGAUUAUGGCUUUGUAAGGUUCCAUAGAUAAUUAUUCUUUGUUUGUUUUAAAAAAUAUUAAUUAAUAUCCUUUAUUUUUUAAAAUUUCACCAAUCUCCAUUAUACAUGUUUUGCUUAAAAUAUUUACUAUAAAACUAAUUUAUUUUUUAUGUUAGACACUUGAUAAAAAUAAAAAUAUUUACUUAUCCAAUUAUUGUUAUAAACGGGAACAACUUUAUUAUUGAUUCUAAUAUUUUUAUUAAUAUUUUCAAAAGUACAAUGAAAUUUAUAUACGAGAACAACAUAUAUUAUUGAUUCAAAUAUUUUUAUAUACAGGAACAACUUUACUAUUGAUUCAAAUAUUUUUAUAAAUAAUAUCUCAACAAAAAUAAUAUUUAUAUAUGGGAAAAAAUACAUUGUUGAUUAAAAUAUUUUUAUAUACGGGAAAAAAUACUAUUGUUAUAAACGGGAACACCUUUACUACUGAUCCAAAAUUGAAUAAUAGAAAUUUAUUAACCAUUUUUUUCAAAUAUGUGAAAAAGAUUAAGAGAACUUAUAAAAAAAUGAGUAGAUAUUUUAAAAUUUAAAGAAAUUUAUUGACCAUUUUUUUCAAAUAUGUGAAAAAGAUUAAGAGAAUUUAUUAAAAAAAUUGAAUAAAAAAAUCUAAAACAAUAAUUUAUCUAAUUCAAGUUUCAAUAGUUUUUAUUUUUAGUCAUAUUAAUCUUGAUAUUGUUGUUUAACUUCCAUCUUCUACGUUUAUUAGUAUUUCAACUUUAACUUACUAUUAUUCUUAAGUUAUUUUUUCUUUUUUCAACUUUCAAUUUUUAUGACAAUUUGCAAACAAAUGUGCGUCCAAAAGCAUAUCCCACCCAAAAGCGUAUCUCGUGUGUAUGCAUAUGUUUGUUAAUAUAUAUAUAUAUAUAUAUACUAGUUUAAUGUUCUUGACAACGAGACAAAUAUGAAACUAUAUAUAUAAGCAACAGGGUAACAAUUUCUGAAAUCUUCAUCCAGUUGUGGCAACCCUGCACACCCAAGCUUUCUACUCGCAACAAAAUCCUAACUUCAGAUAUCGUGUCACAGUACACAUUAGAAUACAUUUGAUGGUCUUGAUAAACUCUGGCAUUUAACUACUUCUAAACCAAAGGCAAGGACUUUUUUCCCCUUCCAAGUAAACCCGCAGUAGCACAGAAAACACAAUUUCCAUCUCGACAUACACCAACAAUGUCAUCAAUGUAGUAAUGUAAGAAAAUAAGAAACUGAGACAAGUAAAGUUGUCUUGAAGACUGACUAGAUGGUUGACUUUCAAUUUCUUUUAUACAUGAACUUUUCGUAGUCUGACUUCCCUAGAAGCCCUCAGCAUAUAACUACUAGGAAGGAUCACACGGAACAUCCAUCUCUUGAACCUUUUUACUCUUCUUAUUUCCAUUAUUUGGCUUGUACUUCAUUGGUGGUGGACACAUCGAAGUUGUGGAUGGAUGUGUUAGUUCCUGAACUUUUGUCUCCAUCACCUUCUGGAAUGCAAUAUCCAAUAUACUGAAAUACCUUUUCAACUCUUCACACUCUUCUUCUAAAUCUAAUUGUAUCCUAUUAUCUUCUUGAGUGACCUCAUGAUCUUCAAUGUAUAAUUUUUUCUAAAAUACAUAUAUCGAUUCUAACGGAACAAGCUCACCUUGUAUUUGAAAACAUGUAGGUUCACACGCACAACAUAACCCAUGCGUUAUUCUAAUGAAGCAACCACAUACAUCUUUAUCAGAGCCAACAAAUUUUACCCUUUUCAUCACCUUUCCAGCGUGUUAUAUACACUGUUUUGAAAUAAAGCCUUACAAUCUGGAUUAAAAUGGAGUGUUAUACUGAUGCUCAUUGUUGGCAAUACUUUUUUGAAAUGAUACUUUGAUUGAACCUAGUUGCAAAUUUAACAAGGUGUUCACAAUAUUCUAACUUCUUCACAAAUCUCCCUUGCUCGUAGACAAUAUGUUUUUUAGUCUCUUGUGAGCAAACUCAACCCUAAAAAACAUAAACUGAAAAGGAUGCCUUUAUUUGAUAAUUAGUAAUUUAAUGUAUUCAAAGUCACAUCGACGUACCUGAUCGUUGUCGUGUUCCCUAAUGAGUUACUCUAUUAGUCCAUGCAACAACAAAUAUUUCUUUAUUAGGUGCCAACAAUGUUUCAUGCACAUACUGAACAAAUAAAGGAAUAUUAGUACAUACAACCUCAAAAUGCUUCAGGUGUUCCACAAACUCAUACUCCCUAGUCGAAUACAUGAUGUUCAUCCAUAGAUCCAUAACACGCCCUUGCUUAUGUGAUUCAUUAGACUCCUUGCACUUCAUACUAAUUUUUUUUGAAAUAUUGAACAAACACAAUAGAUAAGGUUUCUGGAUCUCUUUCUUGCAAAGCAGCACUUAUGGAUCUAGGAGUCAUAUUGUAUUUUGUUAUGUCACUCACAAACUGUCUUUCAUCAUCUUUUAAGUGACCUAAUAUAUCAUGUCCAUCUAAGUCCUUAGUGUGUUUAUCAUUGUGCAACUCAUGCCUAACCAUAACCUUUCAACCACUACCAUUUGGCACAUAAAAUCAACAUAAAUGAACAUUUACCUUUCAUAGUAUAACUGUCAUCUGAAGAAUUCUUCUUUUUGUAUUUUCCUCGUAUCUUAUAACCUAUAGUAAAUUUAUCUCUCCUCCCUCUGAUGCCAUCUGCGGUAUCAGAAAAAUAGUAACAACAAUAAUAUCAUGUUCUUUACCAAUGGAUCGUGCCCAUGCUAACACGUCAGCUCGAGAGGGAAAUAUUUGUCAUUUACAACAUAUACAUAAUUGAAAUUCUAGUAACAGACUAUCGAUGUCACAUUGGAUGUUAUGACAUCCAAUUCUGCGCAGACAGGAAUGAUGCAAAACGUAAAUGUAAAGGGCAGUAAAUAACACAGAGAAUUGUUUACCCAGUUCGGUGACAAACACACCUACGUCUGGGGGCUACCAAGCCAGGGAGGAAAUCCACUAUAAGAGGUAUUAAUUCAGGACUUAAAACAAACACACCUACGUCUGGGGGCUACCAAGCCAGGGAGGAAAUCCACUAUAAGAGGUAUUAAUUCAGGACUUAAACCAAUUGUUUAAUCCUAUCACUUAAGACCUACCCAAUGCAAUUUCAAUCUACACUAAGACCUGAGUUCCUACUCACUCCCCCUCAAUCACCAUAGUGAUUACAACCUUUAAUAAGUUUACAGUCAAUGGCGAAGUUAUACUUCAAACAACUCUUGAUUGUGCUUAAAAGCUUUAAUCAAGAAACACAACACUCACACUUAAAAGCUUAGAGUGACACAACAAUUAUAACUCAAUGAACACCCUAGUCCAAUGCAAUCAUCUAAGUGAUAGUUGCUUGGCUCACAAGUAAAACCUAAUACAAGACACAAUAAAACAUACAGCAAGGAAAUAUAAUGAUGUAUUUAAUUCUUCACACUUCAAACCCCUGAAUUGCUGAAAGUAGGAUUGCCAUCCUUUUAUAAUGCAGCACUUGGGCCUUGUACUUGAAUUUCCUAAAAUUGAGGUUAAGCAAGUUAACCUAAUUUCCACAUAUUAGGGUACUAACAAAUAGGCUAUAUGAUAGGCCUCUUAAUUUUAGCACAGUUGUUAGUUUCCUGGAUUUUAGCACAGCUGUUAGAUUCCUGAAAAAUAGCCUGAGAUAAAUACUGAAACAGAACAGAAAAACUAACUAGCCUACACUUUAGCAUAUGCUGUCAGGAAUGAAUGUCAUAACAUUCAGUUUGACGUCCAGAACAUAGGCUAUAUGCUAGGUUUCUUAAUUCUAGCUCAGCUGUUAGUUUCCUGAAACAGCAGCCUGAAAUAAAUACUGAACUAUACCAGAAAAACUAACUGGCCUAUAAUUCAGUAUCUGCUGUCAGGGAUGAAUGUCAUAACAUUCAGUUUGACAUUCAGUAAAUCCUGUAUUAGCUAAUUCUGCAGCAUACUACUCAAGCAUGUCAUGACCUCAGUCAAGACAUCAAAGUACAGUUAGUGUUUUAACACAAAAUGCAGCCAAUCAAAAACAUCUACAAACUCCCCCUUUGGCAAAUUUUGGCUAAAACAACUUGGCAUCACAACAGAGUUCACAGCAACGGAAAGCACACAUCCAAGCAGAGAAUCAAAUUAGCUAAUACACUUAGCACACAUAGAAGUUAAACUUCAAACAGCAGCAGCACAAGUAGAUAGCAGACAGCAACAUAGCCUCUUGUUUAAAAGACCUUCAACUUCAAACAAAUUUGUUCAAGCAAAUCUUUUGUCCUGGGGUACAAGUGUUACUCCCCCUUUUUGUCAAAAAUGUUUCCAAAGCAACACUUAAUAUUACAGACCAAAACAAUAUAAAAUUACACAAUUUUCAGAAACACAGGCUUGAUUUUACUUCACAAUUUCAAUCAAGAAUACACACUCUUGAUCUUGCUUUACAGCUUUGAUCAAGACGACACCCGCUUGAUCUUGCUUCACAGCUUUGAGCAAGUAGAAACACACUCUUGCUUCACAGCAGGUACAACCAUAUCAGAUGUCAUGACUUUGUGUAUUACAUCUUGAAACAAUCAUGGAUGAACAUGUUCUUGAACUCCAGCAGGUACAUGGGAUGUCCCAUGUUCAAAUAUCCCCCAUAACAUCUUGUGAACACACUUGUUGCAAGUGACAUAACUAUUAUUUGUUGACCAAUCAGAGCACACUUUCAAUUGUUUAAUAAUUUGAAAUAUUAAACAGUACAUUCCUAACAUCCUUAGUUGCUAUAAUUCCUCAGAAAGACAUAUUCCCAACUUGCCUCUUAAAUUUUCAAACUGAGUAGCAUCCAAAGACUUUGUAAAUAUGUCAGCAAGUUGUAGUUCAGUUGACACAUGUUCCAAGGUAAUCACUUUGUCUUCUACCUGAUCUCUUAUAAAGUGAUGUCUAAUGUCAAUAUGUUUGGUCCUGCUGUGUUAGAUAGGAUUCUUUAAAAUAUUGAUGGCACUGAGAUUGUCAUAGAAUAAUGUCAUGACAUUCUGAGAGACAUUGUACUCAGUCAACAUCUGUUUCAUCCAUACCAGUUGGGAACAACUGCUUCCAGCUGCUAUGUACUCAGCUUCUGCAGUGGAUAAUGAUACACAAUUAUGUUUCUUACUGAACCAAGAUAUGAGAUUGUUUCCCAAGAAGAAACAUCCUCCUGAUGUGCUUUUUCUGUCAUCAGCACUCCCAGCCCAAUCAGCAUCACAAUACCCAGAUAAGAUAGGCUCAGAGCCAUGAGAGUAUACAAUACCAAUCAUAAUCUACAUUGAUAUACUUGAAGAAUCCUCUGACUUGAUUUAAGUGACUCACUUUGGGUUCUGCUUGGUAUCUAGCACACACACCAACUGCAUAGGCAAUAUCAGGUCUACUGGCAGUUAGAUAUAGUAGGUUACCUAUCAUGCUUCUAUACAAGCAUUGAUCAACACUAGAACCUCCUUCAUCUUUAGUUAAAUUUUAAAUGGUAGGUGCAGGAGUUCUUUUUGUGACUAGCAUUAUCCAUACAAAACUUCUUAACUAUGUUCUUGCAUAUUUGCUUUGGGAGAGAAACAUAGAAUCUUCCAUCUAGUUAACUGGCAGUCCAAGAAAAUAAGUCAAUUCCCCAACCAAACCAUUUCAAAUUCAGAUUGCAUCUGGUUAACAAAAUGUUUCACCAUUUUAAUCUGACAUUCCACCAAGACAAUAUCAUCCACGUAAUAUUUGGGCAAUCAUGAUUUUGCCACUUCAUCCUUCACAAACAAAGUCUUAUCUAUCCCUCCUUUUUCUGUAACCAUUAGUAGUCAGAAAUUCAGUCAGCCUCUCAUACCAAGCUCUAGGAGCUUGCUUCACCCAUACAGAGCUUUCCUCAACUUGUACCAUGUUUUGGUAGAUUAGGAUCACUGAACCCUUUGGUUGUUCCACAUAGACUUCUUCAUUCAAGUAGCCAUUUAAAAAGGCACUCUUCACAUCAUUUGGAACAAUUUGAACUUCAGAAUGCAGGCAACACCUAACAACAACCUUAUUGACUCAAGUCUUGCAACAGUGCAAAGUCUCAUCAAAAAUGCAACCCUCAACUUGAGUAUACCCUUGUGCCACUAGUCUUUCUUUAUUCCUAGUGAUUACUCCUUUCUCAUCAGACUUGUUCUUGUAAAUCCACUUGGUACCAAUGAUGUUAGUCCCUUCAGGUCUUGGAACUAAUUCCCAUACUUCAUUCCUUUUAAGCUGCUCCAGUUCAUCUUGCAUAGCAUUGAUCCAAUAUUCAUCAGUCAGAGCUUCUUUCAUAUUUUUAGGCUCAACCUUGGAUACAAAGCAGGAAUUUGAGCUAUUCUCCCGUGAUCUGGUAAUCACACCACUAUUGGGAUCUCCUAUGAUAAGAUCCUUAGGAUGGUCUUUCUGAAUCCUGAUAGAAGGCACUUUGUUGGAUGCUUCUAACUCAAGUUCAGAAGGAGUAUCCUGCACAUCUUCAGUCUUGACUGGUAUUUCUGUUGAAGUCUCAAGGAACGUUCCAACAUCCUCUAUGACAUUGGAUUCUUCAUCUUUAUCAUCAACAAUAACAUUUUUGGAUUCCAUUAGGACAUUAGUUCUGGAGUUGAAAACUCUGUAUGCUCUGCUGUUAGUAGAGUAUCCCAGGAAUAUACCCUUAUCACUUUUGGGGUCCAUUUUUCUUAUUUGUUCACGAUCUAUAAGAAUGUAACAUUUGCUUCCAAAGAUAUGAAAGUACUUCACAGUAGGUUUUCUGCCUUUCCCGAUUUCAUACAGAGUGGAAGAGGUUCCCUUUCUCAAGGCAACUCUGUUGUGAACAUAGCAGGCUGUAUUCAUAGCUUCAGCCCAAAAGUGCAUAGGAAGCUUCUUUGCAUGAAUCAUAGCUCUAACAAACUCUUGAAUAGUUCUGUUCUUCCUUUCAACUACUCCAUUUUGCUGAGGAGUAAUAGGUGUGGAAAACUCAUGACUUAUUCCUUCAGAUGAGCAGAAAUCCUCAAACUUGGAAUUUUUAAACUCCCUUCCAUGGUCACUUCUUAUUCGGAUAACACUACUAUCCUUUUCUCUUUGGAGUCUUAUGCAUAGAUCUUUGAAAACAUCAAAUGCAUCUGAUUUUUCUCUGAUGAAGCUUAUCCAUGUGUAUCUAGAAUGGUCAUCAACAACCACAUAAGCAUAUCUCUUCCCACCAAGACUUUCAACCUGCAUAGGUCCCAUUAAGUCCAUGUGUAAAAGUUCCAGAGUUUUGGAUGUUGUAGGAUGUCCAAGCUUAGGAUAACCACAUAAGCAUAUCUCUUCCCACCAAGACUUUCAACCUGCAUAGGUCCCAUUAAGUCCAUGUGUAAAAGUUCCAGAGUUUUGGAUGUUGUAGGAUGUCCAAGCUUAGGAUGUGACAUCUUGGUUUUCUUGCCAACCUGACAUUCUCCACAAACUUUUCCUUCAUCAAUAAGCAGCUUUGGGAUUCCUCUAACUGCUUCCUUGGAUAUGAUCUUCUUCAUUCCUCUUAAAUGAAGAUGUCCAAGUCUUCUAUGUCACAGCUUCACUUCCUGUUCUUCCUUGGCUAAGGAGCACAUUGAGGAGUAGUUUGAGACUUUAGGUUCCCAUAGAUAGCAGUUAUCUUUGGAUCUGGAUCCUCUCAUAACUUCCUUAUUUUCUUCAUUUUUCACAACACAUUCUUCCUUAGUGAACUGUACAUUGAAGCCUUAAUCACAUAGUUGGCUUAUGCUGAUGAGAUUAGCAGUUAGUCCUUCUAUUAACAACACAUUAUUCAGUUAUGGAACUCCAGGACUUUCCAACUUACUAACACCUUUGAUUUUUCCUUUAGCUCCAUCACCAAAGGUCACAUAACUGGUAGUAUGAGGUUGUAUAUCUACCAAUAAGUUACUCAUCCCAGUCAUAUGUCUUGAGCAACCACUAUCAAAAUACCAGUCUUCUCUGGUAGAUGCCCUUAGAGAUGUGUGAGCUAAUCUAGCAACCCAUUGUUGUUUCUUGAUGGGGGCAUUAUGCUUAGAUGCCUUCUGCUUAGGUCUGACUUGAGGGGUCUGGUUAGGAUAACCAUGCAACCUGUAACAGAAGGGUUUUAUGUGACCAAAUCUACCACAGUAGUGGCAUCUCCAUCUUUGAAAUUUCUUCUUUUGAUGGUUAAUCCUCCUGUUUCCAUGAUGUUGUGACAUUGGUUGUGACUUCUGCUUGAUUUUCUGAACUUCAGCCUUUGAGCUUUUGAAUUCAGAUGAGGAUUCCUUAACAAAGCCUAAACCAGACAUGGUUCCUGAUUUCUGUCCCACCUUUAGAAUCUCUUCCAAAGUGUCAGUUCCUUUAUUCAGCAUUCUGAUGGAUUUUGUCAUUUGAUCUAGCUUAGAGGUCAGCAAGGUUAUCUCACCAUUUAGACCAUCUAUGACUGUCAGAUGCUUCUUCUUCUCAGCUUCCAGCUCCUUGAUGAGUUUCUUCUGCUUUUCUCCUUGGAUACACACUUCUGCACUUUUGACACAUAACUCUUUAUAUGAAGCAGCAAGUUCAUCAAAUGUAAGUUCAUCUCCACUUGAGUCAUCAUCAGAGGCACAGACACUAGUUAGUGCAGUGACAUGUUUUGCAGAUUCUCCUUCUGAUUCACUCUCAGAGUCUCCCUCAGACCAGGUGACAGAUAGUCCCUUCUUUUGCAUCUUGAGGAAGGUAGGACAUUCAGCUCUAAUGUGUCCAAAACCUUCACAUCCAUGACACUGGAUUCCCUUGCCUUGGUUGAACUUUUCUUCAGAUUUUGAUCUUCUACUGAUGUCAGAUGAAGAGUUCUUGACAUUUGGUCUACCUUUUUGAUCAACCUUCUUUAUGAACUUGUUGAACUGUCUUCCAAGCAUGGCUAUAGCUUCUGAUAUGCUUUCAUCACCUCCAAUAUUUCCUUCUUCUGAAUCCUCUUCAGUAUUUGAUACAAAAGCUAUGCUUUUGUUUUUCUUUUCAACAUUCUCACACAAGCCCAUUUCAAAGGUUUGGAGAGAACUAAUAAGCUCAUCAACCUUCAUAUUGCAGAUAUCUUGAGCCUCUUCUAUAGCAGUAACCUUCAUGGCAAAUCUCUUGGGCAAUGAUCUGAGAAUCUUUCUUACAAGUUUUUCUUCAGACAUUUUCUCUCCUAAGCCUCCAGAAGUGUUGGCAAUUUCAAGAAUAUUCAUGUGGAAGUCAUGAAUAGUCUCAUCCUCUUUCAUCCUCAGAUUUUCAAACUUAGUAGUCAGCAUCUGAAGUUUAGACAUCCUUACCUUGGAGGUACCUUCAUGAGUUGUUUUGAGAGUAUCCCAAACUUCUUUAGCCAGCUCACAGUGAUGCACCAGUCUGAAGAUGUUCUUAUUUAUCCCAUUGAACAGUGCAUUCAAGGCCUUGGAGUUUCCAAGGGCUAAUGCCUCUUGCUCUUUGUCCCACUCUUCUUCAGGAAUUUGCAUAAUGAUUCCAUCUUUACCUGUCUUCGUUGGAUGUUCCCAUCCUUUGUUGACAGCUCUCCAGACCUUGCUAUCCAGAGACCUCAAGAAGGCUAUCAUACGAGGUUUCCAGUCAUCAUAGUUAGAACCAUCCAACAUGGGUGGUCUAUUUGAGAAUCCUACAUCCUUGUCCAUGGUACUAGAAAGUAACGUCCCUAGAUCUCACCCAGAAAUUAACAGGCAGGGUGCCUGCUCUGAUGCCAAUUGAUAUUCUAGUAACAGACUAUCGAUGUCAUACUGGAUGUUAUGACAUCCAAUUCUGCGCAGACGGGAAUGAUGCAUAACGUAAAUGUAAAGGGCAGUAAAUAACACAGAGAAUUGUUUACCCAGUUCGGUGACAAACACACCUACGUCUAGGGGCUACCAAGCCAGGGAGGAAAUCCACUAUAAGAGGUAUUAACUCAGGACUUAAACCAACUGUUUAAUCCUAUCACUUAAGACCUACCCAAUGCGAUUUCAAUCUACACUAAGACCUGAGUUCCUACUCACUCCCCCUCAAUCACCAUAGUGAUUACAACCUUUAAUAAGUUUACAGUCAAUGGCGAAGUUAUACUUCAAACAACUCUUGAUUGUGCUUAAAAGCUUUAAUCAAGAAACACAACACUCAUGCUUAAAAGCUUAGAGUGACACAACAAUUACAACUCAAUGAACACCCUAGUCCAAUGCAAUCAUCUAAGUGAUAAUUGCUUGGCUCACAAGUAAAACCUAAUACAAGACACAAUAAAACGUACAGCAAGGAAAUACAAUGAUGUAUUUAAUUCUUCACACUUCAAACCCCUGAAUUGCUGAAAGUAAGAUUGCCAUCCUUUUAUAAUGCAGCACUUGGGCCUUGUACUUGAAUUUCCUAAAAUUGAGGUUAAGCAAGUUAACCUAAUUUCCACAUAUUAGGGUGCUAACAAAUAGGCUAUAUGCUAGGCCUCUUAAUUUUAGCACAGUUGUUAGUUUCCUGGAUUUUAGCACAGCUGUUAGAUUCCUGAAAAAUAGCCUGAGAUAAAUACUGAAACAAAACAGAAAAACUAACUAGCCUACACUUUAGCAUAUGCUGUCAGGAAUGAAUGUCAUAACAUUCAGUUUGACGUCCAGAACAUAGGCUAUAUGCUAGGUUUCUUAAUUCUAGCUCAGCUGUUAGUUUCCUGAAACANCAGGGAGGAAAUCCACUAUAAGAGGUAUUAAUUCAGGACUUAAACCAACUGUUUAAUCCUAUCACUUAAGACCUACCCAAUGCAAUUUCAAUCUAAACUAAGACCAGAGUUCCUACUCACUCCCCCUCAAUCACCACAGUGAUUACAACCUUUAAUAAGUUUAAAGUCAAUGGCGAAGUUAUACUUCAAACAACUCUUGAUUGUGCUUAAAAGCUUUAAUCAAGAAACACAACACUCAUGCUUAAAAGCUUAGAGUGACACAACAAUUACAACUCAAUGAACACCCUAGUCCAAUGCAAUCAUCUAAGUGAUAAUUGCUUGGCUCACAAGUAAAACCUAAUACAAGACACAAUAAAACGUACAGCAAGGAAAUACAAUGAUGUAUUUAAUUCUUCACACUUCAAACCCCUGAAUUGCUGAAAGUAAGAUUGCCAUCCUUUUAUAAUGCAGCACUUGGGCCUUGUACUUGAAUUUCCUAAAAUUGAGGUUAAGCAAGUUAACCUAAUUUCCACAUAUUAGGGUGCUAACAAAUAGGCUAUAUGCUAGGCCUCUUAAUUUUAGCACAGUUGUUAGUUUCCUGGAUUUUAGCACAGCUGUUAGAUUCCUGAAAAAUAGCCUGAGAUAAAUACUGAAACAAAACAGAAAAACUAACUAGCCUACACUUUAGCAUAUGCUGUCAGGAAUGAAUGUCAUAACAUUCAGUUUGACGUCCAGAACAUAGGCUAUAUGCUAGGUUUCUUAAUUCUAGCUCAGCUGUUAGUUUCCUGAAACAACAGCUUGAAAUAAAUACUGAACUAUACCAGAAAAACUAACUGGCCUAUAAUUCAGUAUCUACUGUCAAGGAUGAAUGUCAUAACAUUCAGUUUGACAUUCAGUAAAUCCUGUAUUAGCUAAUCCUGUAGCAUACUACUCAAGCAUGUCAUGACAUCAGUCAAGACAUCAGAGUAGAGUUAGUGUUUUAACAUAAAAUGCAGCCAAUCAAAAACAUCUACAAUAAUAAAUUAUCAAUAUCAAAUAUAUUUAAAGCCUGUUAAGUUUUGAACAAGUUAAAAAGAAAACAUGUAAGUAAAUCAUACAACGUGUAAGUAAAUCAUUUACAACAUGUAAGUAAAUCAUAUCGGUGGUGAAAACUGUGAAAAAUCUACAGGGGAUUGAAACAUCACAAUUGAGGAAUCUGUGCUACUGAAUUAUUUAUGGUAGGAAAAAAUAUAGUAUACCAUAUUUUUUAAAAUAUUCGAAACAUUUGGAUCUAUAUCGAAUUAUACAUCAGAAUCUGGACCACACAAUUGAGGAAGUUUGAACUACCGGAUUUUUUAAAAUAUUCGAAACUUUUGGAUCUAUACCGAUUUUUUCUAAAAAUAUGGUAUAAAAUAUACUUUUCUAGAUAUACCAGUUUUUUCAAAAAAUCAUUGAUAAAUGUACCGACUUUUUUUAAAAAUUCGAUAAAAAUGAAACUAAUUUUUAAAAAAAUAUGAUUUAUAAAAAAUAUACAGUAAAAAUGCAAAAAAAAUGAUAAAAACUCGUAUCGAUUUUUAAUAAAAUCGAUAAAAACUCAUAUCGAUUUUAAAACAAACUGAUAAAAGCUCAAAUUUGUUUUUAAAGUAUCUGGUAAAAUUGCGUAACUUCCGCCUUUUCCGAAUUUUUUUGUACUAGAUUUUUCUUUUCAUACUAGUUUUCUAAAGCGAUUUUUUUUGACACAAUGUAAUUUUUUGAAAGGUAAAUAGUGGAAAGGUAUUUUUGCUAUUAUGGAAAAAUAUGGAGGUGCCAGGUUAAACUUUAGAGGCGUCAGGAUAAAUUCUCUUAAAACAAAAGGGUGUUGUAAGGUUGAUUGACACGUCUUGCUAAUUUAAAUCUUUUAUUUUUAUGUUGAUUUGAUAUGUAUGGUGUAAAAUCUUGUUCUUGUUUCGUCAUAUCCACUCAAUUGUCUAAUAAUGUGAAUAUCAUUUUAUAUCCCUAUAGACAAUUCAUAUUAUGAUCUUAUUCGUUACUUGAUGUGUGCAGUUGAGUGGAAUUAAAUAAGAAAGGUAUUUCUAAAGUUUAUCAUAAAUGAGAUAAGAGAAAACACCACUAGCAAGUUUAAUAAUGAAGAGAUAAAAACACCACUAGCAAGUUUAAUAAUGAAGAGAUAAAAACACCACUGAAUUGAAUUUUACAAGCAAAAGCUCUUUUCAAAAUAAAAACACCACUAGCAAGUUUAAUAAUGAAGAGAUAAAAACACAAUGAGUUUUAUCCUGGAUCGCUUGAAACUCAAUGUUAAUUCAGUCCACCCGCCAAGGUGAUUUGUCUUAUACACAAGGACUUAAUCCACUAUAAUCAACAGAUUGCAAUAAACAUAAAGAAUAACCUUCUUUAUUUUCUCAAGGAUCCAACUAAACCCUAGUCUCCUCAAGGGUUCACAAAUAACAACUUUCUCUGUCUUCUCAAGGAUAACCUCCUUAAGGAUUCAAACAAAUAGUUUGAAGAAUAUUUAGUAUGUUACAAGAUGCUUCUACACAAGUAGAUUUACAAAAAUGAAUAAUAAAUACUUAAAGAACAUUGUAUACAAAAGAUGAUAGCUUUUCACAAAGAAAAAUAGAUUUUCAAAAUACUUGUGCAAAUCAGUGUUUUCUUCAAGUCUCCAAUGCAUGCUUAUAUAGUGUAAGCAUGUGACCAUUGGAGGGUAAAAUGGGGAAAACUCUUUGAGCGGUUGUCCACUGUUGGAUGAGAAAGGAAUGAUACCACAUACUGUCCUUUCGCCUACAUAUUCAUUGACUGGUAUGAUGAAUAGUAUAAUCCUUGCCCACGAAAUCAAGUAGUGAAAAUGUUGUUUGAUUUGUACUAUAUACUAUUUGAUCACGUUCCCAUUUUAUCUUAUCUUCAGAUUCAUUGGCUUUUGAUAAAAGGUGAUUGAAACAUGAAGUGAAGAAGUAGAGAGCUAGAUUCAGAAACUUCAGAACCUUGGGUCAGAACCUAGUGUUAGUAGUCUGACUUGAGUUCUUUAGUAUCCUCAAAAUAUUCAGAGUCUUCAGAAUCCUCAGUCAGAACCUUGAUAACUUCAAUCAUCUGUCUUGAGAUCUUAAUCUACAUAACACAACUUCAGAAACUUGCCAUUCUUCAGAAGUUUGUUGAUCAGAGUCACGUCCAUAAGUAAAAUUUAAGAGAACAUUGCAAUAGUAAUAUAGAGUCUCCUCAUAAGCUUCUGAUGGGUGAAAUAACAAAAAAGCCAAAAGAACAUUGCAACAACAAUAUUAACGUCUUUCAGAACUUCUAAUUGCAGCGUAAAAGUGGAUUUUGAACGCAAAGUUCAUAAACUGAUGAUGUUGCACAUCAUAUGAUCAGAAUCAAAGUAGUUGUUAAAGCUACAUAAUAACAAACCAUUAGGGCACCAAAAAUUUUCUCACACAAAUACACUAUUGUUAUCAUAAAAACUCAAGGUAUAAAUGCAAAACCAAAUCUUGUUUUAACAAUCUCCCCCUUUUUGAUGAUGACAAAACAUGUAUUUUGAUGAACAGUUUUGUACAGGGAAAUCACAGAAGAUACAUCUUACAUAAGCACAAAGCUCCCCCUGAGAUGUAUAGUCCUAUAAUGAUAAACUCAGAAUGAAAGAACACUUUCCUAAUUUACCUUUUGAAGUACCAGAAUGAAUAUUUAUUCAGAAUCUGGUUUAUCUUCAGAAGUUUGUUGAUGUUGACUAGAGCACUAGUUGAUAACAUCAUCCUUUUGAUAGACCUUACUUCAGAAUCUUUUCUUUAGAAGACCUUUCUUCAGAAACUUCUUUUCUUUAGAAGACCUUUAUUCAAAAACUUCUUUUGAUAGCCUUGAUUUUUCAGAAGUAGCCCUUCAGAACCAUUCUGAUUCUUGAGAGUUAACCCUGCAAAAACGCUUAACAAACUUUUCUCGAAGUAUUUGUUAGCAUAAACAUUUAAACAAUGUUUGGGUUUUUAAUUAAGAAAUUAGAUAUCAAAAUAAAAACUUAAUUCUUCCCCUUUAGAAUGUUAUGUUUUCUCCCCAUUUGUCAUAAAUCAAAAAGAUAAAAUACAAAGUAAAUAAAAAGAAGUAAAACAACUUUCAUUGAUUAAAAAAAAGUGCCAACAGGCAAUGCAAAGUACAAUGAAAAGAAACAAAAGUAAAAAUUGCAAGAAAGUUAAAGUAAAUAAAAAUUUAGGGGUUAUGGGGAGAAGGAGGAGGCAGCGAAAUAGGUGGGUAGUCAUCCGGAAGAUUUAAGGGAUCUACCAUCGGACCGAUACCCUCUUCAAGACAUAUCCCCAUGUAAUGUGCUAAAAUAUCUGGUGGAUCGAUCUUCGUGAAGAUAUGAUAGUUUUCCACCUGAGUAGUAUUGUCGUUUAUUUCUUCCUUGACUGAAGGAGUCCCUUCAAUAGAUACAGAUCUAGGAUGAGAUCUAGUCUGAUAUAGUUGCAGUUGUUAAAACUGUUGCUGAACCAGUUGUUGCUGAGCAGUCUUUGAUCAACUUUAAGAGAGUUGUUGUUGUUCAGUUAUCUUUGAAGAUUGUUGUGCCAUUGAUGAUUGUUGUUCAACCAUUGAGAGAGGAUGAAGAUGAAGUUGAAGAACAGUUGAGGAAAGAUAAGAGAGUUUGUUUGUGGUUUGAAAAACUUGAAAGUGUGGGAGAAAUGUGUGCGUAGUGUGAAAAUGUGAGUGAAAUGGGUUUAAAUAGACAAUUUUUGCAAAAAAGAGUGCACGGUCAUGGGGGGAAGUGUAAAGGUUUAGACCUAAUUCCAAGAAUUGUUAAACCCAAUGUGUCACGCUUUAAAUUGCAUGCUCAGAAAGUAGGACAAUUGUCUCCACUAAGAACCACACGCAAUCAAACGACAAGACAACCAUUAAAUGCAGCAAGUGUUCAGAAUCAGGAAGACAAAUCGAUAAGAUUACUUCUGAUCAUAACCUUUCUGAUUCAUAAAAACUUCCUUACUUCAGAAAGCUUCAAGUUUCUGAGUCAGAAAGAAUAACCAUCUCAGAAUCUAAUAUAGAGUUCUAAAGACUUUACAUUCGGAAUAACAUCUUUUCGUUCUGGACACGGUUUCAUAAAUAGAUUUUUCAUAAUGAAUAUGAAUAUAUCUUUUUUACUUUUUUCAUAAUGAACAUGUACUAACUAAGAGGUAAUAUAUUGUGUCAAUAUUUAUUAAUUACUUUUUUCAAAAUCUUUUUUUAUGAACUCAUAUACCUCGGUUUUCCUUAAAAAUUGACGUGAAAGAUCUUUUAAUUGAAUUCUCAGAAUAUGACGCUAUAUGGAUUUUUCUGUUUCUUUUAUUUUUAAUUAAUGAAUACACGUCGGCUUUCCCUAAAAAGCUACAUGAGAAUAUUUUGAAUAAAAUACUUUAAAGAACUGGUCUCUAACUUUUUGUUUAUGUAUCAAUGUUACAACUUCAUUGUCAUUCUCUGCGCAGAAACCUUAGACGAUUUCAAUUGUCUCUCUCUCAUCAAAACUCUUCCAAGUGUUCGUGAUUUUCAUCGUCACCCUAAUCAUAACACGAAAUCAUCUCUAUUUCCAACCUUAACUGAAUCUUCGUCAUCAUGUUUGAGGUACUUCUUUAUCACAUUUUUGUUUAUAUUACUGAAAUAAUUUUAGUUCAUAUCACUGAAAAAGGUUUAGUUUAUAUCAACACGAACAUCAUCAAUAUUCCCAUACAACAUGACUCAAAUCAUUUAGUAUCAUUGGAAUGGUUUCUCAUCAAUCAUGGCUGAACUGCAUUUGUUUUUCACUAAAAUGGUGUAUCUCCAUUUAUUACCCUUGCAUUAGUGUUCGUAUCACAGAAACAGUGGAACCCCCGGCUAACUCUGCAUAGUGUGAUCAGUCGCCGAAAUUUAAUUUGGUUUAUUUAAUUAACAGAAAUUAAAUUAAUAAUAAUAAUGUGUUUAUUAUUAUUGUCUUGUGGUGAUCGAUUAUGGCCUUAGUUUUCCUUUAUUUUGUUUUGGGAUUUUAAAAUACAACUUGCGUGUCGUGCAUUAAUCUCUUGAUGUAACUUAUUUUCUAAUCUCACUUCCUCGUAUGUAAAACGAGUUUCUUUUAUGUAAUAUAAUGUUAUGAAGAAAGAGAAGAAUACAAUAUCAAAGGAGGACAACCUUGAAGAUCUUGUUUGGAAAAGCUUAGGUCGUUAUUAGGUUAGCUUAGGUUCUCUCAUUGGCUUGAGAGAACAAUUGCGAUAGGGGCCAUAACCAUUUCAUUUUGAAUGUAUGUUGAUGCAUGUGAGAGACGAUCUAUAUGAUAAAUAAGCCGGUGAGAUCAGAAUAAUUGAAAAUUCCCUCAAAUUAAAUAUUAAGUUUAUGCUUUCCAAGUUUUAGCACUCAUCAAGACUAGUAUCGAAUAAUGUAGGGUUUGCCUACGCGAGGUGCAUGUUCUAUACUAGUAAGGUGCGAUGGAAUAAUUGUAAUAUCCAAUUGCUAAAAUAAUGAAUCAAACUUAACUAAACAAACUAUAAUAAGAUUAUAUACGUUUAGAAGCAAGAGUUGGAAAUGAUCCAUGUGAUGGAUUGGAAUAAGGAGUUAUUCACCCAACUAAAAUAUUCGAGAGUUGUAUUAGAUACAAUUGGAAGGAGUUCCUAUGGAAUAAGGAGUUAUUCACCCAACUAAAAUAUUCGAGAGUUGUAUUAGAUACAAUUGGAAGGAGUUCCUACCUAAAUAACCUAGUUUUGUGUAAUCCGCCUACGCAGACUUAAAACAAAGUGAAAUUUGGAUCUUGAUCCACUAGAAAAUCUUCCAACGAGAUUUUCUGAAUCAAAUGGGGAGGGUCAUUUAUUUUGAGUAAAAUAGUGGGAGCAUAUUUAAUUAAAGACCUAAUUAAAUAUAUUAUUUUAGUGAUACUUAUAUUUUCAUUAUUUUUCAUGUAGAUUACUAUGGCAAUAAACACCUCUAACCACAUUUUGCGAUCAAUCGUUAAUAAGGAAAAAUUGUCUGGGACAAAUUUUCUGGAUUGGCACCGAAAUCUGAGGAUUAUCCUCAAACAUGAUAAAAAGUUGUAUGUCUUGGAGAAACGUGUUCCUGAAGAGGAACCUCCUAGUUAUGCACCUAAGAAAGAAAGAGAUGCUUAUAAGAAGCAUGUUGAUGAUGCCAAUUAAACUGCUUGCCUCAUGCUAGCUACCAUAAACUCAGAGUUACAAAAGCAACAUGAGAACAUGGCACCGUUCAAUAUGAUCGAACACCUGAAGAUGCUCUAUCAAGAGCAGGCAAGGCAUGAAAGAUUUGAAGUUUCAAAAGCCAUUUUUCAAGGCAAGUUAGUUGAGGGAGCCCCUGUAGGUCCCCAUGUGGUCAAGAUGAUUGGGUAUAUGGAGAACCUUGAGAAAUUGGGUUUUCCUCUCGGAAAGGAACUUACGACUGAUACAUACAUACAUACAUAUAUAUAUAUAUAUAUAUAUAUAUAUANNNNNNNNNNNNNNNNNNNNNNNNNNNNNNNNNNNNNNNNNNNNNNNNNNNNNNNNNNNNNNNNNNNNNNNNNNNNNNNNNNNNNNNNNNNNNNNNNNNNNNNNNNNNNNNNNNNNNNNNNNNNNNNNNNNNNNNNNNNNNNNNNNNNNNNNNNNNNNNNNNNNNNNNNNNNNNNNNNNNNNNNNNNNNNNNNNNNNNNNNNNNNNNNNNNNNNNNNNNNNNNNNNNNNNNNNNNNNNNNNNNNNNNNNNNNNNNNNNNNNNNNNNNNNNNNNNNNNNNNNNNNNNNNNNNNNNNNNNNNNNNNNNNNNNNNNNNNNNNNNNNNNNNNNNNNNNNNNNNNNNNNNNNNNNNNNNNNNNNNNNNNNNNNNNNNNNNNNNNNNNNNNNNNNNNNNNNNNNNNNNNNNNNNNNNNNNNNNNNNNNNNNNNNNNNNNNNNNNNNNNNNNNNNNNNNNNNNNNNNNNNNNNNNNNNNNNNNNNNNNNNNNNNNNNNNNNNNNNNNNNNNNNNNNNNNNNNNNNNNNNNNNNNNNNNNNNNNNNNNNNNNNNNNNNNNNNNNNNNNNNNNNNNNNNNNNNNNNNNNNNNNNNNNNNNNNNNNNNNNNNNNNNNNNNNNNNNNNNNNNNNNNNNNNNNNNNNNNNNNNNNNNNNNNNNNNNNNNNNNNNNNNNNNNNNNNNNNNNNNNNNNNNNNNNNNNNNNNNNNNNNNNNNNNNNNNNNNNNNNNNNNNNNNNNNNNNNNNNNNNNNNNNNNNNNNNNNNNNNNNNNNNNNNNNNNNNNNNNNNNNNNNNNNNNNNNNNNNNNNNNNNNNNNNNNNNNNNNNNNNNNNNNNNNNNNNNNNNNNNNNNNNNNNNNNNNNNNNNNNNNNNNNNNNNNNNNNNNNNNNNNNNNNNNNNNNNNNNNNNNNNNNNNNNNNNNNNNNNNNAUAUAUAUAUAUAUAUAUAUAUAUAUAUAUAUAUAUAUAUAUAUAUAUAUAUAUAUAUAUAUAUAUAUAUAUAUAUAUAAUUUCAAAAUAGAAUUUAUUUUAAAAAAUAUAAUAAUAGUUUUUGGUGGUAUCAUGUCGGUAAUGUCAAGGUUGUGACGUGAAUAGCACGUGGUUAACUAGUCAACAAUGACCUUACUUCUACAUUUAUAUUUGAACUUUGCAAUCUAUGUAAAUAUUAGUGAAGUUUAUUUAAAAGCUAGCGACAUGAAUAUCAUUUGGCAAAUUUACGUUUUGUUUUUACGUGGCAACUAGUUGUGACUAGCGCUAUUGCAGAGAGUUUGCUCACUCCGAUGUGACAAAUUUGCAUUGUGUUUUCACGUGGAAACAAGUUGGGACUAUCGCUCAUGCAAAGUGUUUACUCACGUAUCUAAAUUUUCUUUUGAGACUUGAUAUUUAUGUUUGUGGCAUGAAUAUCACGUGGAAAAUGAGUAUUUUUUUUAGUAUUCAAAGCGUAUAUCAUCGUUUUGCAUACCAGUCCACCAACAUGACUAAUUUAGGGUUGCAAAUAAGAGCGAUUGCUACACUGAGAUGACAUUUCAUUCAUUCACUCGCUGUAAGUUCCUAAUCUUACUCUGAUUACAUCCAAACAGUCUCCCUUUUUCCAAUGAUAUCUAAGUAAUCUAUAUUUUUCCAGAAGUUGAAUUAAAAGAGAAAAAGGUAGAACUCUUAAUCAUUACUAACUUCAAUCAAUUCUAAUUUUAAAAAUACUAAUUUUACACGAAAACAAUUUGUUCAACUCGAAAUGCUAAAAAAAUUUAGAACUUAUAACUUUUUUUAACAAAUAUUAUUUAAAUAUAUUUUUUAAAACAAUAUAUAUAUUUAAAUAAUAAAUCCAAAAAUAGUAAAUAUUUUUUAUAGAAACAAAAUAGUAUAAUUUUUUUAAAACAUUAGAAUUUUUAAAACAUAAUAAUAAUUUUUUUAAACAAAAAAAAAUAAUAUAAAUUUUAUAAAAACAUAAUAAUAUUAUUUAAACUAAUAUAUAUAUNNNNNNNNNNNNNNNNNNNNNNNNNNNNNNNNNNNNNNNNNNNNNNNNNNNNNNNNNNNNNNNNNNNNNNNNNNNNNNNNNNNNNNNNNNNNNNNNNNNNNNNNNNNNNNNNNNNNNNNNNNNNNNNNNNNNNNNNNNNNNNNNNNNNNNNNNNNNNNNNNNNNNNNNNNNNNNNNNNNNNNNNNNNNNNNNNNNNNNNNNNNNNNNNNNNNNNNNNNNNNNNNNNNNNNNNNNNNNNNNNNNNNNNNNNNNNNNNNNNNNAGCGAACACUUUGGGCAAGAGCAUUAGUACACAAUUAGUUUAUCGAAACGUGAAAAGCAUCAUCGAAACAUUUGUUAGAUGAUAUUCAUGUCACAAACAUUUAAAUACGUUGCAUUAAAUAUUUACAUAGAUUGCAAAGUCAAAUAUAAUUGCAGAACUAAGAUGAGUGGACUAUUAGCAAUGUGCUAUUACAAAAACUGCAAUUUCUGAAAUUUUAAAAACUAAUUUCUAUUUGUAAACUAAUAAUAUUGUUAUAAUAUAUAUAUAUAUAAAUAUAUAUAUAUAUAUAUAUAAUAUAAUAUAUAAUAUUAUAAUAUAUUUAUUAGGUUAAAUAUAUAUAUAAACAAAUUAUUAUUUACAAAUAGAAAUUAUUUUUAAAAUCAGAAUUGCAGUUUUUUGUAAUAGCACAUUGCUAAUAGUCCACACUCAUCUUAGUUCUGCAAUUAUAUUUGAACUUUGCAAUCUAUGUAAAUAUUAAUGCAACGUAUUUAAACGUUUGUGACAUGAAUAUCAUCUAACAAAUUUUCGAUAUGCUUUUCACGUGAAAACUAAUUGUGACUAAUGCUCUUGCAAAGUGUUGGCUCAUGUCGCUGUGGCAAAUUUGCAUUUUUUUUCACGUGGAAAUUAGUUACGACUCGCGCUCCUGUAGAGUGACGUGAUAAUUAUGUUUGUGGCGUGAAUAUAACAUGAAAAGUAUAUCAUUGUUUUGCACGCCACUCCAUCCAAAAUGAUUAAUUUACGAUCGCUAUUAAGAGCGAUUGCAACACUGAGAGGACAUUUCAUUUCUUCAUCAUAAGUUCAUGACUUUACUCUGGCUGCAUCCAAGAUUCUCCCUUUUGAAAGAGGAAAAAGGCAGAAUCGUUACUAAUUUCAAUCAAUAUUAAUUUCUAACAAUACUAAUUUUAUACGAAAAUAAUUUGACUUUAUUUUAUCUUAAUCAUGAAAGGGAAAUCGAUGAUUGAUUUCUUUUGCAUUGAGUAUUUCAUGAAUGAGAAAUCGUGAAAAGCAAAUUCAAGGGAAAAUAAAAAAAUAUGUAUAGUUUUUCAGUUUUGAGGUAUUUUUAUUGAAAGGAGAGAAGUGAAUAUGUAUAACUUGGGGUCAGAGUUUUUGAGUUUAGGGUUUUUUGUAUAAUUAAUUUUGUUUUAAUUAUAUUUACUACAUAAAAUAAAAGAGAGGGAAACAAAAAUUCAGAUGAUGAAAUCUUUUCACUGGUAAAUAUAUGUAGCUUCGGCCCUGGCCUAAGCUAUUAUUUUAAUAAAUUAAUAUAAAGAAAAAUAUGAGUCUGAGUCUAAUAUUUCUAAAAUAAUAAAAUAUUUUAUUUUCGGAAAAGCCUUCACGGGUAAAUAUAUUGGUUUAAGGAAUAUUGAAACCAUUAACAAAGCUUUUCCUUUCUAGUGGAAGUGGAGGAUAGUGAAGGAGAGAGAUAUUUUAUGGUAUGAAAUCCUUGUUCAUAGGGAUACAAGUUAUGAAAAGAAGUUGUUUAUUACAGUAUAAAGACUGAUUAGAAAGACUGAUUCUCUGACAACAAUUGUUUCCUUAUAUUACAAAAAUUGUAGGGAACACUAUCUAUAAACUAUGUCUAAAAACUAAAAUAUCAAAUUAAAUUUAUAUAAAGGAAUAAUUUUCGUAUAAGAAUGUAACUUAUAAUAUGUCUCUAAUAUGCAUGAAUCUUAAUAACUUUUUAUUUUCGUUAGUAGAUGUGAGACUUGAUUUUAUUAGAUAAGUAUGAUACUCUGAUAUGAAAAAUAAUAUAUUUCACAUAUUAUACUUGCAUAAAAAGAGUAAAGGCGUUUGUAACUCAUUCUCAUAACCAAUUCAAAUUUAUUGUUAUUGUUUUCAAAUAAAUAUCACAAAUGCUACAAUACAUAUUAUUUUUGCAAUAGUUUUAAUGAUGUAAACUUAGGGACUUAAGAAGACCGCGAUUCAUCUUAAAACAAGGAGGAUUCAGGAGGAUAACUAGGAGAUUGAGCAGGUGAAUCAGGUGAUUUAGGAGGUGAGCUUGGAGAUUCAGGUGCGUUUGGUGGACUCGGUGCAUUUGGUGGACUCGGCCAAUUUGGAUUGCAUGGAAAACCUGGAAUGCUAGGAAUGCCCGGGAUGCAUGGGAAACCUGGGAAUGGUAUGUCUGGGUUGCAUGGGAUACCCGGGAUACUUGGUAUACCUGGGAUGCAUGGUAAACCUGGGA
rnacentral:lncRNA from 1 species